CUUCAUUCCCUCCUCUCCCCCUAUCCCGACACUUCUCUCUCUUUCUUUUUCUUUUGGCCUCCGCUUGCCAGAGGCUGCUUCUUAUCUUCAUUGUCAAGCUUCAAAUUGAACGGAAGAGAGGGAGAAAGGAAAAGCGGAGCUGGAGGAGCUGGAAGGGAGCGGUGGUGUCGAAGCCUAAGCUACAUUCAGUUAGCUAAGCUACCGACAACACUGACUUAGGAGAGAAAAAAAAUCAAAAAUGACGAACCCGGCUAGACCGGCGGAGGGAAUGGAUCCCCAAACACCGGUAGCGGGUGGAGCGGGGCCGUCGUCACUGACUCGACGGCCGUCACGCAGCGCCGCCACCACUACCUUCUCUAUGGAGGUGUUUGACAACGAGGUUGUUCCCUCUUCUCUCCAGUCCAUUGCCCCAAUCCUUCGCGUCGC